CCUACGGGGGGCAGCAGUGAGGAAUAUUGGUCAAUGGACGAGAGUCUGAACCAGCCAAGUAGCGUGAAGGAUGACUGCCCUAUGGGUUGUAAACUUCUUUUAUAUGGGAAUAAAACGUUCCACGUGUGGGAUUUUGUAUGUACCAUAUGAAUAAGGAUCGGCUAACUCCGUGCCAGCAGCCGCGGUAAUACGGAGGAUCCGAGCGUUAUCCGGAUUUAUUGGGUUUAAAGGGAGCGUAGGUGGAUUGUUAAGUCAGUUGUGAAAGUUUGCGGCUCAACCGUAAAAUUGCAGUUGAAACUGGCAGUCUUGAGUACAGUAGAGGUAGGCGGAAUUCGUGGUGUAGCGGUGAAAUGCUUAGAUAUCACGAAGAACUCCGAUUGCGAAGGCAGUUCACUGGACUGCAACUGACACUGAGGCACGAAAGUGUGGGUAUCAAACAGGAUUAGAUACCCUUGUAGUC
rnacentral:rRNA from 1 species